GGCCAGGUAGCUCAGUUGGUAGAGCAAAGGAUUGAAGCUCCUUGUGUCGACGGUUCGAGUCCGCCUCUGGCCACCA
rnacentral:tRNA from 1 species